rnacentral:misc_RNA from 1 species
CAAAACAAUAUGAUAUAAUAAUUUAGAAUUGCAAGAAGUCAUUGCAUACAAAUAAGUGAACGGCAGGCCCUGUGCGAUUGGGGUCUGUGAACCAUGUCAGGUGGGGAACCAAGCAGCAUUAAGCAGUAUUUCUGAUGCGAUACAGCCAGUCUGCCGUUCUCUUAUUUGUGUGAUUGCCGUUGUUUCG